CAGCCGCCGCGGUAGUACGGAGGGUGCAAGCGUUAAUCGGAAUUACUGGGCGUAAAGCGUGCGUAGGCGGUUCGUUAAGUCUGUUGUGAAAGCCCGGAGCUCAACUCCGGAAUUGCCUUUAAGACUGCAUCACUUGAACGUCGGAGAGGUGAGUGGAAUUCCGAGUGUAGAGGUGAAAUGCGCAGAUAUCAGGAGGAACACCGAUGGCGAAGGCAGGUCUCUGGGCAUUAACUGACGCUGAGGAGCGAAAGCAUGGGGAGCGAACAGGAUUAGAUACCCGAGUAGUCCCUGUCUCUUAUAC
rnacentral:rRNA from 1 species